rnacentral:rRNA from 1 species
UACGUAGGGUGCAAGCGUUGUCCGGAAUUAUUGGGCGUAAAGAGCUCGUAGGCGGUCUGUCGCGUCGGCUGUGAAAACUCGGGGCUCAACCCCGAGCCUGCAGUCGAUACGGGCAGACUAGAGUGCUGUAGGGGAGACUGGAAUUCCUGGUGUAGCGGUGAAAUGCGCAGAUAUCAGGAGGAACACCGGUGGCGAAGGCGGGUCUCUGGGCAUGUACUGACGCUGAGGAACGAAAGCGUGGGGAGCGAACAGG